AACGAACGCUGGCGGCAUGCCUAACACAUGCAAGUCGAACGACGCCUUCGGGCUUAGUGGCGCACGGGUGCGUAACGCGUGGGAAUCUGCCCUUUGGUUCGGAAUAACAGUUGGAAAAGACUGCUAAUACCGAAUGAUUACGAAAGUCCAAAGAUUUAUCGCCAGAGGAUGAGCCCGGGUAGGAUUAGCUAGUUGGUGUGGUAAAGGCGCACCAAGGCUGCGAUCCUUAGCUGGUCUGAGAGGAUGAUCAGCCACACUGGGACUGAGACACGGCCCAGACUCCUACGGGAGGCAGCAGUGGGGAAUAUUGGACAAUGGGCGAAAGCCUGAUCCAGCAAUGCCGCGUGAGUGAUGAAGGCCCUAGGGUUGUAAAGCUCUUUUACCCGGGAUGAUAAUGUCAGUACCGGGAGAAUGAGCCCCGGCUAACUCCGUGCCAGCCGCCGCGGUAA
rnacentral:rRNA from 1 species